rnacentral:rRNA from 1 species
UAUCGACGGCGGUGUUUGGCACCUCGAUGUCGGCUCAUCACAUCCUGGGGCUGAAGUAGGUCCCAAGGGUAUGGCUGUUCGCCAUUUAAAGUGGUACGCGAGCUGGGUUUAGAACGUCGUGAGACAGUUCGGUCCCUAUCUGCCGUGGGCGCUGGAGAACUGAGGGGGGCUGCUCCUAGUACGAGAGGACCGGAGUGGACGCAUCACUGGUGUUCGGGUUGUCAUGCCAAUGGCACUGCCCGGUAGCUAAAUGCGGAAGAGAUAAGUGCUGAAAGCAUCUAAGCACGAAACUUGCCCCGAGAUGAGUUCUCCCUGAGACUUAAAGUCUCCUGAAGGAACGUUGAAGACGACGACGUUGAUAGGCCGGGUGUGUAAGCGCAGCGAUGCGUUGAGCUAACCGGUACUAAUGAACCGUGAGGCUUAACCUUACAACGCCGAAG